rnacentral:rRNA from 1 species
GUGACAGCAGCCGCGGUAAUGCAGGGGGUGCAAACGUUGCUCGGAAUUAUUGGGCGUAAAGCGCGCGUAGGCGGCUACUUAUGUCGGAUGUGAAAGCCCUUGGCUCAACCGAGGAAGUGCACCCGAAACUGGGUAGCUGGAGUACGAAAGAGGGUCGCGGAAUUCCCGGUGUAGAGGUGAAAUUCGUAGAUAUCGGGAGGAGCACCGGUGGCGAAGGCGGCGACCUGGGUCGAUACUGACGCUGAGGCGCGAAAGCGUGGGGAGCAAACAGGAUUAGAAACCCCCGUAGUCC